UACGGGGGGGGCAAGCGUUGUUCGGAAUUACUGGGCGUAAAGGGCUCGUAGGUGGCCAACUAAGUCAGACGUGAAAUCCCUCGGCUUAACCGGGGAACUGCGUCUGAUACUGGAUGGCUUGAGUUUGGGAGAGGGACGCGGAAUUCCAGGUGUAGCGGUGAAAUGCGUAGAUAUCUGGAGGAACACCGGUGGCGAAGGCGGCGGCCUGGACUAAAACUGACACUGAGGCACGAAAGCGUGGGGAGCAAACAGG
rnacentral:rRNA from 1 species